GUCCGUAACGAGCGCAACCCUUGUCCUUAGUUACCAGCACGUUAUGGUGGGCACUCUAAGGAGACUGGCCGGUGACGAACCGAGGAAGGUGGGGAUGACGUCAAGUCAUCAUGGCCCUUACGGCCUGGGCUACACACGUGCUACAAUGGUCGGUACAAAGGGUUGCCAAGGCCGCGAGGUGGAGCUAAUCCCAUAAAACCGAUCGUAGUCCGGAUCGCAGUCUGCAACUCGACUGCGUGAAGUCGGAAUCGCUAGUAAUCGUGAAUCAGAAUGUCACGGUGAAUACGUUCCCGGGCCUU
rnacentral:rRNA from 1 species